rnacentral:rRNA from 1 species
UACGUAGGGUGCGAGCGUUGUCCGGAUUUAUUGGGCGUAAAGGGCUCGUAGGCGGCGUGUCGCGUCGGGAGUGAAAGCCCGUUGCUUAACGGCGGGUUGGCUUUCGGUACGGGCAGUGCUGGAGUGCGGCAGGGGAGACUGGAAUUCCUGGUGUAGCGGUGAAAUGCGCAGAUAUCAGGAGGAACACCGUGGCGAAGGCGGUCUCUGGGCCGUAACUGACGCUGAGGAGCGAAAGCAUGGGGAGCGAACAGG